AUUAUCAUCGAACAUAUCGAAUAAUGCGGCGAAGUUUGUUUAACAGUGCAACAUGUUCCUACACCAAUAGGAUUACUCUCUCCGCUCUCAUAAGAUUACUUGCACGUACAUCUUAUUGGACUGUUGAGAACAGCACUUGUUAACAUCGUGCGUCGACGCUAACAGCUGUUACACAAAACUGUUAUUGUAUAUCUUGCUGUUGACGCGUGUGGUCGGGUUUUUUCGGCGGUAAAUGCGGGUAUUUUAAUCUAAGCAACAAAUUUAAAGUGCAAAAUAAAGAAAAAAUACAAAAAAUUCAUGAAAAAAUUGCAAAAAUUUCUAAAUGUGUUGAAGAUUACGAUAAACAUAAUAUUAGUUAAAUAAAGCUACACAGAAAAAAAAAAAAAAAAAUAAAAUUUAAAUUAAAAAGCGGAAUUUAAGCAAAUUUCAAGUGUUAAACCAAAUGUUAAUCUAAGCUUAAAGUGUAAAACUAGUUUAAGCCCGCAAAGUGUUAACAAAAGUAAAAACGAAACACAGUUAUAUAUAAAAUUAAUGAAAACAAAACUGCAAUAAAUAGUUAAAACUAAAAAAAAUAAUUAAAAAAAAAACAACACCAACAACAACAAAAGCUGAAGCUUCCACUAAUCCAACAAAAGCACUAGUUAAACAGUCCGAUUUGACGGCUAAGAAAACGAAGGCUAAAA